UAUCACGCUGCCCCACCAGCCAGCUAGUUUGCGUUUCCAAUGCUCUAAUUAGCACCUGGCCUCCCCUUCACAUGUCACCGGCAGCCGCUCCUUCGCAUAAAACCAACCCGUACCACCAGCCACCCCGCCUUUUAGUCAUGACCUCUCACCUGCCCACACUGGGAGCCUCUAGUUACUGCUCACAUCCAGGAGACAGUAAAUCUGUGAUUUAACAGUCAGGGAGGCUCUCGUAGAGACUCUCAGAGCGAGGGGAGGCUUGCAGGAGAUAUGGGUCAGAGGAUUCUCAAAGUUGAUCUGUUUACUGGUCAUGGAGGAUGGAAAAAAGAAAAAAAGGAAAAAUCUCAACCAGGGAAGGAAGACUCUUGGCAGGGGCUGUGGGAGGCUGGAGACCCCGGUGGAGAGGAGAGAGAGAGCCAGGAGGGAAAGCGCCACAGCUGACACCAGAGGUGGCCUGGCCAACCCCUCCGGCCUGCCCAUGACUGCACCACUCAGGAACCCCGACCAGUCAGCACUGCCUGUUGGAGGUGUAUGAAAGAGAUUUUGGAGUGAUGGGCGAUCUCCCAGGAAGAGGCUCCAGGCUGGAAAUGUUGCUCUCACAGCUGCUAAACUCAUCGUCAAGGGAGUUAGUCUUCUUCUGAGCUUCUAUGACUUCCCAUCAGGUCGGCUUUAGACACUUCCUUUGCUUCACAAACACCGACAUCUCUGCGAUGAUCGCCACAGUGAGAUGAAUGAGCUCACAACCAGCCUCACUUGCGCCACCGUAACGCUCAUCUGGAUUAAUGGGUCUCCCGAUGAGAAGGUGCAUUAGUGUUUGUUGCCAUGAACAAAAAUAAUAAAUACUUCAAUUAAUUUUGUUGAGCUCUUCAAAGUCCAGAAAUUCCAGCGCUGAGUCUGCCAGGAAUCUCUGGGACGGCAAUUAAAUGUCUCCACAAAAGGAGGUCAGCCUGAUUGAGUGGAGAGUUAUAUUUCCAGUGGGGUGUAAUGAUAAUUGUGUUUAUUGUGCAUUCCUUGGCUGACAGCCUAAUGAAUUUUCCAUCUCACUAUUUCAGAUGCACUGCUCAAAAACUAUUAUUGAUGAAAACAGAAAACUGCAUAGCUGUACAAGCAAAUCUGUAAGAAAAUAAAUAAAAAAGUAUUUUUUUCCAUUUAGCAAACUGCGUCUAUGGUUAUUUGGCUCCUAU
rnacentral:lncRNA from 15 species